ACGGCCAUACCACAUUGAAAACAUCGGUUUCCCUCCUAUCACCCAAGUUAAGCAAUGUCGGGCCUGGUCAGUACUUGGGAGGGUGACCACUCGGUGCUGUAGAA